rnacentral:lncRNA from 1 species
ACCUCUCUCGGCGCUGCUCCGGCGUCAAGCCGUCGUCUUUGUUCUUCCCAGCCUUGGCCCGGGCGGCGGCUCUCUCCCGGUCACGCUCUCUCUGGUUGCCGCGUGAUCAAAUCUCAAGAAUCAAAGAAAACACGCAAUUUCGUUUUUGUUUCAAUCCAUAAUAACAAAGAAAAAAAAAUACACGGAUUCGAAGGCAAUGGAAACCUGGCAAACAGAUUCGAAGCGUUGAAAAACACCAUGAUUACGAGAUCAAUCAUAAAAAUUGAAGAAGAUAAUGAAUGAAUCAAAAUCAAAUGACAAAAGAUUGAUAAAUAAAUAAAUGGAAUCAACAGAAGAAAGGAUAUGAGUCAUGAUGCAGAUUGCAGAGUGCCAAAGCAGAGGAAGAGCAGCAAGUCAAUUGGGAAAGAGAGAUCUGGGGUUCCAAGUUGUAGGAUUUUAGGUUUUUAAUUUUUUAAUUUUUUAAUUUUUUUAGGGUUGCAAUGCAAAGUUGUAGGAUGGUGGCAGCAAAUCUUUACCAUAAAUAUGUCAUGUACUAUUCAUCAUCUGGUUGGGAUUCGACUCCCACUAUUAUGUUAAUU